AGCAGUGCCUGGGAAAAAGGGAGCCGGGCACGCCGCUAUCCCCACGGAAAGGCAGAGGGGGUGUGCUGACAGCAGCCUGCCAUAAACCCCAGCACUGCAUGUCCAGAGUGGGCACGGGGAGCAGAGGGGCAGGACAGGAAUCCACGCCAAGGAACACCAGUGCUGAUGAUGGCAGCAAGGAAGGGAAACAAGAGACUCUCCUUCUGCUGCUCCAUCCCUUCCAGAGCUGUGGCCUUGUGGAGCUUUUGCCAUGGCAGAGCCAGGCAGGCACCAAAAGCCAGGGAAUUACAAGAGGCUCACAGCUGGAGGGGGCACAGUGGGACAGCCUGGCCUCAGGGCUGGACUUGAUUCCCUCGUGGAGCAAUCCCAGCUCAGCCGAGGAGCCUGGGCUCACUGUCCCCUUGCCUCCCUUGGGAUCGGCCUCUGGGGUCCUUGGGUGUCUCCAGAACCAUAAAAACAUUUUAACCAUUUUAACCUCCAUCUUCUCCUCCUCGGGCCAGCGAACAGCUGCUUAACAAAAUGGAUCUGCACACGGCAA